UACGUAGGGGGCAAGCGUUGUCCGGAAUUACUGGGCGUAAAGCGCAUGUAGGCGGAGGGGUGUGUCGAACGUGAAAGGCUGCGGCUCAACCGCAGAGCGCCGUUCGAAACUGCCUUUCUUGAGGGCCGAAGAGGAGAGUGGAAUGCCUGGUGUAGUGGUGAAAUGCGUAGAGAUCAGGCGGAACACCCGUGGCGAAGGCGGCCAGCUGGGCCGUCCCUGACGCUGAGGCGCGAAGGCGUGGGGAGCGAACGGG
rnacentral:rRNA from 1 species